CCUACGGGAGGCAGCAGUGGGGAAUAUUGCACAAUGGGGGAAACCCUGAUGCAGCGACGCCGCGUGAGUGAAGAAGUAAUUCGUUAUGUAAAGCUCUAUCAGCAGGGAAGAAAAUGACGGUACCUGAGUAAGAAGCCCCGGCUAACUCCGUGCCAGCAGCCGCGGUAAUACGUAGGGGGCAAGCGUUAUCCGGAUUUCAUGGGUGUAAAGGGAGCGUAGACGGCAGUGCAAGUCUGGAGUGAAAGGCGGGGGCUCAACCCCCGGACUGCUCAGGAAACUGUACGGCUGGAGUGCAGGAGAGGGAAGUGGAAUUCCGAGUGUAGCAGUGAAAGGCGUAGAUAUUAGGAGGAAAACCAGUGGCGAAGGCGGGUUACUGGACUGUAACUGACGUUGAGGCUCGAAAGCGUGGGGAGCAAACAGGAUUAGAUACCCCAGUAGUC
rnacentral:rRNA from 1 species